rnacentral:rRNA from 1 species
AAUGGGGGAAACCCUGACGCAGCAACGCCGCGUGAGUGAUGAAGGUAUUCGGAUUGUAAAACUCUGUCUUCAGGGACGAUAAUGACGGUACCAAAAGAGGAAGCCACGGCUAACUACGUGCCAGCAGCCGCGGUAAUACGUCGGUGGCGAGCGUUAUCCGGAAUUACUGGGCGUAAAGGGUGCGUAGGUGGUUUUUUAAGUCAGAAGUGAAAGGCUACGGCUCAACCGUAGUACGCUUUUGAAACUAGAGAACUUGAGUGCAGGAGAGGAGAGUAGAAUUCCUAGUGUAGCGGUGAAAUGCGUAGAUAUUAGGAGGAAUACCAGUAGCGAAGGCGGCUCUCUGGACUGUAACUGACACUGAGGCACGAAAGCGUGGGGAGCAAA